GAUGAACGCUGGCGGCGUGCCUAACACAUGCAAGUCGAACGAACCUAAUCUUCGGAAAGGGUUAGUGGCGCACGGGUGAGUAACACGUAGGUGACCUGCCCCGGAGUGGGGGAUAACUUCUCGAAAGAGAAGCUAAUACCGCAUAGGCUCGGCCAUUCAGUUGGUCGAGUAAAGUUCCGGCGCUCCGGGAGGGGCCUGCGUCCGAUUAGCUAGUUGGUGAGGUAAUGGCUCACCAAGGCAAUGAUCGGUAGCUGGUCUGAGAGGACGAUCAGCCACACUGGCACUGACACACGGGCCAGACUCCUACGGGAGGCAG
rnacentral:rRNA from 1 species